rnacentral:rRNA from 1 species
GAUGAACCACUUCGGUGGGGAUUAGUGGCGAACGGGUGAGUAACACGUGGGCAAUCUGCCCUGCACUCUGGGACAAGCCCUGGAAACGGGGUCUAAUACCGGAUACUGACCACUACAGGCAUCUGUGGUGGUGGAAAGCUCCGGCGGUGCAGGAUGAGCCCGCGGCCUAUCAGCUUGUUGGUGAGGUAACGGCUCACCAAGGCGACGACGGGUAGCCGGCCUGAGAGGGCGACCGGCCACACUGGGACUGAGACACGGCCCAGACUCCUACGGGAGGCAGCAGUGGGGAAUAUUGCACAAUGGGCGCAAGCCUGAUGCAGCGACGCCGCGUGAGGGAUGACGGCCUUCGGGUUGUAAACCUCUUUCAGCAGGGAAGAAGCGAAAGUGACGGUACCUGCAGAAGAAGCGCCGGCUAACUACGUGCCAGCAGCCGCGGUAAUACGUAGGGCGCGAGCGUUGUCCGGAAUUAUUGGGCGUAAAGAGCUCGUAGGCGGCUUGUCGCGUCGGUUGUGAAAGCCCGGGGCUUAACCCCGGGUCUGCAGUCGAUACGGGCAGGCUAGAGUUCGGUAGGGGAGAUCGGAAUUCCUGGUGUAGCGGUGAAAUGCGCAGAUAUCAGGAGGAACACCGGUGGCGAAGGCGGAUCUCUGGGCCGAUACUGACGCUGAGGAGCGAAAGCGUGGGGAGCGAACAGGAUUAGAUACCCUGGUAGUCCACGCCGUAAACGGUGGGCACUAGGUGUGGGCAACAUUCCACGUUGUCCGUGCCGCAGCUAACGCAUUAAGUGCCCCGCCUGGGGAGUAC